rnacentral:rRNA from 1 species
UACGGAGGGUGCAAGCGUUAUCCGGAUUCACUGGGUUUAAAGGGUGCGUAGGUGGGUCUGUAAGUCAGUGGUGAAAUCCCCAAGCUUAACUUGGGAACUGCCAUUGAUACUAUAGGUCUUGAAUCAUCUGGAGGUAAGCGGAAUAUGUCAUGUAGCGGUGAAAUGCUUAGAUAUGACAUAGAACACCAAUUGCGAAGGCAGCUUACUACGGGUGUAUUGACACUGAGGCACGAAAGCGUGGGGAU